CUACUCGCAAGUUAGCAGUUUACUAGUAAAUAUACAGUGAGGAUAUGUCUUUCAGUGAAUAAAAUAAGAGUGUUUGUUAUCCACAAAUAGCUAUGGAUAAGUAUGGAUAUGCUAGACAUGAUUUUCUCAUGUUUUCUGGUAUAAACCAUAGACAUGCUGACAAGUUCAUAGAGCUGUUCAUAGUAAGUCUGUUUCUGAGCAAGAAUGCUGUGUCUCAAUGCUCAUGAGUUGAUGUUCAACUAUGUUCAUGAAAGUGUGUGUCUGCUUCUGUGCUGUUGUUAUAAUUGCUUGAUGAAACUGUAAAUGCAAUUUAUACUGAGAUAGGCCAGUUUUGAUGAGUAGGAUCGUUUCCUCCACAAAUAAUUAUGCUCAUAGUCAUAUUUGAUAAUGCUAUCCACAAUUCUAAAUGUAAAUGUAAUAUUCUGUUUAACAGCUGUCCUAGGUUAAUUAUAAAAGUGUGUACAUUCAUACAUGUCUAAUUUAACUUUUGGUAAUUAAUGUAGUUUGCUGUUGAUAAAAUCCCAUGUGAUUUAUUUUAAUGUGUGGGGGUAUAUUUACUGGCACUGCUAUCUUUUACCUAGAGACUUCAUUCAAGCUUAGAAUGUAGACCAAAGUCUACUCCACACCCAGACCACAAAAAGUAAAACUGUUUAAGAUGUGCCUGUAAAGCUGCUAGCCUGUUGCUACCACAGACUCGAUCUAACAGAGUGAAAUUCAAUUUUAUUGCAGGUUCACUUUGGUCACGGUCAAAGGUUUUCAAAGCGCUCAUUGACAGCACUCUCAUCUACGGAACUCAUCAACAGCAUCUGCACACAUCACUCCUAUUCAUCACUGUCGCAUUACUCUUCUAUUUUCUCCCACAUAUUAUAUAUAAUAAGACUAGAUUAUUUCAGGUUUAUUUUAGUUCAAUUUAGAUUAGAGUACAUUCAGUUACACUAGAUUAAUUUAGGUAGAUUUAGAUUCAGUAUUUUAGGUUAGGUUAGGUUGUAGUUUUGGAUUUGCCUUUUGUCUGUAAUCUCUCCAGCAGGAUGCCCAGGAAGGGAAGGUGGUCCGAGGCAGCGAAGCUGAGAUGGAGGAAGCUCAGCCAGGAGGAGCCAAGUCCAUCCAGUACCCUUCCGUAGGCACUUAGAGUGACAACUGUCUGCAUGGAAAUGUUGAAAAUGUUGAAAUUUUGUGUUUUACAUUUUAACUAUGGUGUUCAUGAUCUAACUGCUUUUUUUUUUUUUGGUGUUAAUGUUUCAUUAGGCAGUCUAGACCGUGUCCCCCCAGGCCGAGGAGUCCAGGAAGGAGCCCAUCCCAGCGGCGAGACGGAACUUCACCCUUCACUGGGCGGCAGCACAAGUUGGUCGUGCCACCCGAGUCCCUGACAAGAAGUUUGUUCCGAUUGUCGGAGACUCCCAUCUACGUGCCCUUGUAGAUGGUUUAAUCGUCAUGUCAGUGGGAUGCCUUUCCUUUGGUUUCAUGUCAACCCCGGGGGCCCCUGCCUCUGAGCCGUGGACCAAGGUGCAAUAAGCUGUGCUUCCUCGGAUCCCUGAGGAGGACGAGUGCUCCUUCCCGCUGAACCUGGUCUGGUUCAGCAGCGCAACCUUGCAUACUAUGGAUGAAGUCCCCCUGUAGUGGCAAAACUUUGUUUGGGUUUUUCUUGUAACCCUUUGUAUCCAGUUUUCCAGGUUCCUUUGUUUCACCACUUGGAGAAAGCAGUCGUGCAGUGUCAGACUCGCAGUUUGUGACCAAAAACAAUCCAGUGAGAGCCGAUUGAUGAAUGAAGCCGAUAAUUUAUUGUAACUUAAAUAAACACAUAAAAAACGCAUUGUUUGCAUAGGUCUUUUAAAUCUUGUAGCAGGACCACACAGCUUCAAACGGUUGCACCACCACCCUCACCUGUAGAGGGUGCACACUCACAAAACAAUGUAAAUAAUUCAAUUCAAACCAACUUCAAUGUGGCUCCUACACCCCCUUCGAAUCUCUCCUGCCAUGGGGACUGCCAGUCCUCUCCAAAGCCCAAGAGGGUAAUUUGACUGACUGAGAUUUCCUUUUUUACAUUAGGCACUAUAAAAUGUGUCACCUUAUCCUCCACCUUACCUCCUUAAAAGUCAUUACUACUAAUAGUAGUCUAUUAUUUAGGUUGAAUUGGUAAUAUUUUUUGUAUUUAAUAGUGCAGGUGCUUUUCUCAGCGGCAGCCAAGUGCCCCAGCACCAAGACCCCCCACAGCAACUACUACUAGUAAUAAUAGUGAUGAAUGAUGAAAACAUAGUAAUGAUGAUAGUGAUAAGGAAUCCUUUUAUAACACAAUUUCAGGGAACAAGGUAAGUGUGUUCAAAUGGCAAGAGCCAGUCAUAGUCAGAGUGACAGUAGAUACAAGCACUUCUCCAGAAACCACCUGCAUGUCCUUGACUUUUCUGGCUUACCAGAAUGAGGGCUGUCAGUUCAACAUGGCUGCCCUCGGUAGAGUGCUGGCACAGGGGGACUCACUCUAUGUUAGAAUUAAAAAACAGCUAAUUCAGGAGAAAAGAUUUUGGUUUUUGACAGUCAAGGAAAUGCCCAAACAAGUCCCAACAGACACAAAUCUCUACAAUGUGCAUAUUCCUGAUGUCAGAUGUGGCUUACUGAAAGCCCAAGCAUCCAGCCCUGGAGGAGAGCAGGGGUGGGUGCCCCUCGUCACACAGCUAGGGUCACAGAAGUCAGCAGUGCAGAGUGCAUUGCAGUUUUCCGUGACAAAUCGGGCAGGUAUGGAGUCUUCGAUUCACACUCCAGAAAUGCAGCAGGCUUACUAUACCACUUCGGAACUGCAAUCACAAUGACCUUCCCCAAACUCAGUGAUCUGGCUGACCACCUGCACAAACUGUUUGGAAAACGUGGAGAUUAUGCAAGCUAUGAGUUUGUGCCCAUUUCAUUUGAAGCUGUUGGUUCCAGUGAAGGUCCGCCACAAUCAGUAGCCCAAACCCAAGAAAACCAAUCUGAAACUGCCUUCUGCCCAUUGCAAGAAGAGGUUGUGAGAGCUGAAGUCCUUGACAGAGAUCUGAACGCCCAUGACAUCUCUUCAGCGGUCCCCCAAGCAACAACUAAUUUGGUCAAGCUGAGCAAACAACAGCGUCUAAAAGCCAGGCAGAGAGCACGUGAUGGCAAAGGGCAAUGUGCACUAGUGUCUCAAGUAAAAGAACUAAAAAGGAAAAGAAAAAUCCAUCAUGAAAAAAAAACAGGUAUGCCAACUGUCCAGAUUUUAGAGGGGAAAAAAAUAAGGCAGUGAAAACAAAAUUUGACAAUCACCACAAACAAAGGCUACUGUCAUUUAAAUGCUACUAUGCAGAUCCCAAAGUUUAGGUUAAAAAGAAGGAAGAAAUCAAAAGACGGUACAUGACAAAUCCUGCUUUCAGGAGCAGAAAGAAAAAGUACCUGACCCAGAGGUACAAGGCAGUUCUCGCUUUUCGGAGUAUACA